ensembl:lncRNA
UUAUGAAAGGAAGCAGCAGUACGAGUCUUCAUAGAGAUGAAGGGUGUGGGACAGCUGUGUGGGUCACAGUAUUUAGUCUAGUGCUGCCUUUCUGCAGGAGGAAGAAGUCGGAGCUUGUCUGCAUAAGGAGUUGGGCUACCAGGAACAGCAGGUCUUCUUAAUGACCUUCACUUUAAGGACCUUGACUUAGAGAUGGCUUUCAAGUCUCAAUAACCACCCCUGAUUUUGGAAAAUGAACUUUCUCAAAUAAUGAAAACAGCCGUUGAAAGGGAGACCAGGACACGUGAAAUAUGGCUGAAUGAGAAACUCAUCAUCGCGUGCUCUGAGCCAUCAGGAAGUGAACCUCAGAUUGGGAUCUGAGCGUCUUGAUUGGUACAAGGACCUGUGAAAAACUGUAUCUUGAAGAUGCAGAAAGGUCUGACUAUGGGUUUCCACUGCAGGACUAGCAACUAACUGGCAUUUGUGUGCUGGUGGUCCCUGCCCUGUGGACAUACAGUUAAAAAGCUCCAGAGGAGAGUUGUUGUUCCUUGUGCAAAGAGAAGACCUUUCCUUUGGCUCAGAGCUGGCAUCACUGCAUCAGUUGAGUGGUUACCUGGAUUGGAAGAUGGUAAAAGCAAUUGCUGCUGGGCUUUUUUUGUACAGCAGAAAGAGGUCGCAAUCUUCCCUGUGGACUGUGGUGGUUAUUCCCCCAAACUUAUGCCUUUUGCCAGCUUGGUGAUAGAACUUCGGGGUUUCAGUGGAGCAGGUGUCAAAGCACACAGCCAAGGAAUGGAGCUGAAGGCAUAAUUCUUAGUCUGAGACGUUAACUAUGGGCACAGUUGUAAUCUGAGAAAAUCAUGAAUGUCACCAAUGCAUUCUGGUAAAGUGAUAGCUAUAAAAUGAAAGAUUUAAAGGAAGCAAUCAUAAUGGUUAACAGCAGUAUGAAAAAGCUUAAACAUGUUCAUAAAUUUCAAUAACUGCUGAGCAAUAUACUGGAUUCAUCUAGGAGAGAUUUAAUUUGAAAAAUGCUAAAUAGGAGGAACAGACUGGAAACAGACAUUCCUCCUGAAGAUGAAGCCUUUUGGUGAGAAAUUUACAUUGCACUUCAGCUGAAGCGAUACUAAAUGUGAGUACAAUGUGUUAGAAAAGGAAUUAUAAAAUAAAUUGUGGAAGGAGGUUUUUAAAUUUGCACGUUAAGGAAAAAAAGCUUUAUUUUGUAUUCUCACUUCAGAUGAUGAUCGUGUCUUGAUGUAUAAGUGCCCAUGCAUGCUGAAAUAAAUGAAAAUAACAAAAAAAAAAUGGUAUUAACUACAUAGAUUUUUAAUAGAAAAAGAAAAUGACUGAAGUCUUAUCACAGGGAAGUAUAAACAUAUAUGCUUGUGAGCAAGUAUCCAGAACAUACGCAUCGAUUUCAACAAUGCAUAAUAUAUAGAAUACAAAUGCUUUAGAUGAAUUUCAAAUUUGCUGUGUUUAAAAUUAAUUGUAUUCUGAGACGGAGCCUUUCAUUGCAGAUAGUUUUAGCAAGAUGCAUCAGUGC